rnacentral:rRNA from 1 species
UAAUACGUAGGGUGCAGGCGUUAAUCGGAAUUACUGGGCGUAAAGCGUGCGUAGGCGGUUUGUUAAGACAGGUGUGAAAUCCCCGAGCUCAACUUGGGAAUUGCGCUUGUAACUGGCAGGCUAGAGUGUGGCAGAGGGGGGUGGAAUUCCACGUGUAGCAGUGAAAUGCGUAGAUAUGUGGAGGAACACCGAUGGCGAAGGCAGCCCCCUGGGUUAACACUGACGCUCAGGCACGAAAGCGUGGGGAGCAAACAGG